rnacentral:rRNA from 1 species
AGGACGAACGCUGGCGGCGUGCUUAACACAUGCAAGUCGAACGAGGCGCUUGCGCCUAGUGGCGAACGGGUGAGUAACACGUGAGCAACCUGCCCUUGGCUCUGGGAUAGCCUCCGGAAACGGGGAUUAAUACCGGACAUGACCUUCUCCUGCAUGGGGGAGGGUGGAAAGUUUUUCGGCCAGGGAGGGGCUCGCGGCCUAUCAGCUUGUUGGGGGGGUAACGGCCCACCAAGGCGACGACGGGUAGCCGGCCUGAGAGGGCGACCGGCCACACUGGGACUGAGACACGGCCCAGACUCCUACGGGAGGCAGCAGUGGGGAAUAUUGCACAAUGGGGGAAACCCUGAUGCAGCGACGCCGCGUGCGGGAUGAAGGCCUUCGGGUUGUAAACCGCUUUCAGCAGGGGCGAAUUCAGACGGUACCUGCAGAAGAAGCGCCGGCUAACUACGUGCCAGCAGCCGC